CCGGCGGCGUGCCUAACACAUGCAAGUCGAACGAGAAAGUGGAGCAAUCCAUGAGUAAAGUGGCGACCGGGUGAGUAACACGUGACUAACCUGCCUUCGAGUGGGGGAUAACCUCGGGAAACCGGGGCUAAUACCGCAUAAUGCCUUCGGGUUAAAGAAGCAAUUCGCUUGAAGAGGGGGUCGCGGCUGAUUAGCUAGUUGGUGAGGUAACGGCUCACCAAGGCGAUGAUCGGUAGCCGGCCUGAGAGGGCGCACGGCCACACUGGAACUGAAACACGGUCCAGACUCCUACGGGAGGCAGCAGUGGGGAAUUUUGCGCAAUGGGGGAAACCCUGACGCAGCAACGCCGCGUGGAGGAUGAAGUCCCUUGGGACGUAAACUCCUUUCGACCGGGACGAUGAUGACGGUACCGGUGGAAGAAGCCCCGGCUAACUUCGUGCCAGCAGCCGCGGUAAUACGAGGGGGGCAAGCGUUGUUCGGAAUUAUUGGGCGUAAAGGGCGCGUANGCGGUGCGGUAAGUCACCUGUGAAACCUCUGGGCUUAACUCA
rnacentral:rRNA from 1 species